rnacentral:rRNA from 1 species
AUUGAACGCUGGCGGAAUGCUUUACACAUGCAAGUCGAACGGCAGCACGGGGCAACCUGGUGGCGAGUGGCGAACGGGUGAGUAAUACAUCGGAGCGUGCCCAGUCGUGGGGGAUAACGUAGCGAAAGUUACGCUAAUACCGCAUACGAUCUAAGGAUGAAAGCGGGGGAUCGCAAGACCUCGCGCGAUUGGAACGGCCGAUGUCAGAUUAGGUAGUUGGUGGGGUAAAGGCCCACCAAGCCGACGAUCUGUAGCUGGUCUGAGAGGACGACCAGCCACACUGGGACUGAGACACGGCCCAGACUCCUACGGGAGGCAGCAGUGGGGAAGUUUGGACAAUGGGCGCAAGCCUGAUCCAGCCAUUCCGCGUGCAGGAUGAAGGCCUUCGGGUUGUAAACUGCUUUUGUACGGAGCGAAAAGGCUCUCUCUAAUACAGGGGGCUCAUGACGGUACCGUAAGAAUAAGCACCGGCUAACUACGUGCCAGCCGCCGCAGUAA